rnacentral:rRNA from 1 species
CCUACGGGAGGCAGCAGUGGGGAAUAUUGCGCAAUGGGCGAAAGCCUGACGCAGCAACGCCGCGUGAGGGAUGACGGCCUUCGGGUUGUAAACCUCUUUCAGCAGGGAAGAAGCGAAAGUGACGGUACCUGCAGAAGAAGCACCGGCUAACUACGUGCCAGCAGCCGCGGUAAUACGUAGGGUGCAAGCGUUGUCCGGAUUUAUUGGGCGUAAAGAGCUCGUAGGCGGUUAGUCACGUCGGAUGUGAAAUCCCGGAGCUUAACUCCGGGCCUGCAUUCGAUACGGGCUGACUCGAGUAUUGUAGGGGAGACUGGAACUCCUGGUGUAGCGGUGAAAUGCGCAGAUAUCAGGAGGAACACCGGUGGCGAAGGCGGAUCUCUGGGCCAUUACUGACGCUGAGGAGCGAAAGCGUGGGGAGCGAACAGGAUUAGAUACCCUGGUAGUCCACGCCGUAAACGGUGGGAACUAGGUGUUGGCGACAUUCCACGUCGUCGGUGCCGCAGCUAACGCAUUAAGUUCCCCGCCUGGGGAGUACGGCCGCAAGGCUAAAACUUAAAGGAAUUGACGG